CGUAAAUAUGGCUAGCUUGUUGUGAAGUGGGCUUAUGUGAUUUCAUUUAGAGCGGGAAGACCUUUUUAUUUACAGUCUAUGCAGAGGACUGAUUACGUUUGUAACGUUAACAAAAGCAGCAUGUAUUCGCUGAAUAACUUUCAAACAACCCCAGUUUGACUAUGUUAGCAGUUCUAUCAUGUCAUAUGGAUGUUAUCAGGAGACAGUAACGGUAACAUCUUUGUCGUAGCUUUAGCUCAUGUCAGGUAACUGCCAUUUAUAGCUAGCAAGUGACUGUCAGGUGUCAGGGACACAAACAUGGCUUUAUCCCCGGUGGAGUACACCAUAGGAGGGGUGAAGAUCAACUUCCCCUGCAAGGCUUACCCCUCCCAGCUGGCCAUGAUGAACUCUAUUGUGCGAGGGCUGAACUACGGACAGCACUGUUUGCUGGAGAGUCCAACAGGAAGUGGAAAGAGUUUAGCCUUGCUGUGUUCAGCUCUGGGCUGGCAGCAGGCUCAGUUAGCUAAACUACAACAAGGAGGGAGCCCUGGAGUGGACAAGAGCCAGCCAGAUAAAAGCUUUGGAGACUACAAGAAGCCAAAUGUCACCCCCUGUCAGUGUUCGUGCCACAGCAAUGUCAAGAGGCCUGCUGCCACACCUGCUGCCACACCUGCCUCCAAAAUUCCUGUUGUAGACCUCACUGAGUCGCCCUGCAAAGAUGGAGCACAGCCGGCAUCUCCAGCACCUGGGAAAAGCUCUGCACCAGAGGAGUCGCAGCCAAAGAAACAAUCUUUAGCGUCUCGUCUUUCGGAGAAGUUUCAGUCCUUCCUCAGCUCUGACCAGGAGAGGGACGAGGACUUUCAGCCGGACAGGAAACGAAUCCGCACUGUCGAGCCCAAGAGCCGUAAGAGGCAGCGUCUGGAGCAGGGAGUGGUUUUCUUGGGUGAUGACGACGAGCCGGAGCCGGAGGACGGGCCUUCAGGUUUUCAGAGUUGGGCCACGGAGCCACGCAGUCCAGCGGCCGCUCUGUCCUCUUCAUGCUGCUCCCCUGAACCCUGCACCCGCUGCUCCUGUGCGUCAACAAAAGACGGCAUGAAGGCGAAAGACGCCGUUAAGGACAACAGCCAAGACGGAAACAAGAAGCUACGCAAGAUCUUCUUCGGCACACGCACGCACAAACAAAUCACGCAGAUCACCCACGAGUUAAGGCGCACCGUGUACUCCGGGACGCCCAUGACCAUCUUAUCCAGCAGAGAUCACACAUGCGUCAACCCGGAGGUGGCGCCGCAUGCAAGCCGCAAUGAGCGCUGCAAGGAGCUGCUGGAGAACAAAGAUGGCAGGUCAUGUCGUUACUACCACGGUGUUCAGAGGAUUCGGGACCAGUCCAGCUUACAGCGAGUCCACGGACUCAAUCACGCCUGGGACAUUGAGGACUUGGUCUCACUGGGCAAACGGGUCCGUGCGUGCUCCUUCUUUGCUGCUCGGGAACUCAUGCAAGAGGCGUUAAUCAUCUUCUGCCCGUAUAACUACCUGCUGGACCCGAUGAUCAGACAGAGUCUGGACAUCGACCUGUCCGGCCAAAUCUUGGUGCUGGACGAGGCACACAACAUUGAGGACUGUGCGAGGGAGAGCGCCAGCUACACUUUAGACAACAAAAACCUGCUGAUGUCCCGGGACGAGCUGGAUGGGAUGAUCAGAACCAACAUCAGACGCUCCAAACACGAGCCGCUCAGAGAGUUCUGCUACAGCCUCAUCAACUGGAUCCAGGAGAGCCAAUGCAUGCUGUCAGAGCGGGGAUUUGAGAGCGCCAGUAAAGUCUGGAAUGGGAAGGACAUGAUGGUCAUCUUUCACGGCCUCGGCAUCACCGCUGAUACCUUCAACAUUCUGAAGCAAAACUUGGCGGCCGUGUUGGAGAAAGAGGAGCGUGUUGGUGUGAUUAACGGUAAAGAGGACAUGGUGCAAGUGCCGACCAUCAGCUCAGCUACCUCCACUGUCCUGAAAAGUCUGUUCGUGGUGCUGGACUUCCUCUUCAGAGACAACUGCAGGUUUGCUGAUGACUACCGGAUCGCUCUCCAGAGGAGCUAUGCGUGGACUAACCAGGUCCCGGCUGAUGUCCCAGACGCUCAGGGCUAUUUUGUCCGACCUCGCCAAAGACAACGUCAGAGUGCCCGAGUCAAGACAGAGGUCCUGACGCUCAGCUUCUGGUGCCUCAACCCUGCUGUGGCUUUCUCAGAUCUGAGUGGAUCCGUGCACAGCAUUGUGCUCACAUCAGGAACCCUGUCACCCAUGGGCUCCUUCUCCUCUGAACUCGGGGUGAAGUUCACCAUCCAGCUGGAGGCAAACCAUGUCAUCAACAAAUCCCAGGUUUGGGUGGGAACUGUCGGUGCAGGACCCCAAGGCAGACAACUCCGCGCCACCUUCCAGCACGCUGAGACGUACGCCUUCCAGGACGAGGUGGGCGCCCUGCUGCUCCAUGUCUGCCAGGCCGUGGCUAAAGGCGUGCUCUGCUUUCUGCCCUCUUAUAAGAUGCUGGACAAGCUGCGAGACCGCUGGACCAACACGGGUCUCUGGGAGAAGCUGGAAAUGAAGAAAACUGUGAUCACAGAACCCCGCGGAGGAGCCAAGGGAGACUUUGACGAACUGCUUCAAACGUACUACGAUGCCAUCAAGUACUGCGAGGGAGGAGACGGCGCUCUGCUGAUUGCCGUCUGUCGCGGUAAAGUCAGUGAAGGUCUAGACUUCACAGAUGACAACGCCAGGGCUGUGGUCACUAUUGGAAUCCCCUUCCCAAACAUCAAAGAUCUUCAGGUGGAGCUGAAGAUGAAGUACAACGACCAACACUGCAAGUCCAGAGGUCUUCUUCCAGGCAAUCGCUGGUACGAGAUCCAGGCCUACAGAGCUCUGAACCAGGCCCUGGGGAGAUGCAUCCGCCACAAGAACGACUGGGGGGCGCUGAUUCUAGUGGAUGACCGUUAUAAGCAAAAUCCCAACAGAUACAUCACAGGUCUGUCUAAAUGGGUACGCCAGCUCGUCCAGCAUCACGACACUUUCGGCAACGCCAUGCAGUCUCUGGUGGCGUUCUCGGAGCUGCAGCAGAAGAGAGAGGAGGCGGCGGCCCCCGCAGACAGUCAGACCCUCAGCUCCACCGCCCUCUCGUCUCCAAAUGGUCACCUGGCUGCACCUGUAGAGGACCUGUGUUCAACCAAGACCUCAGAACCUCAGACACCAAGCCAAUAUGUGAAACCACCUGAACCACAGACCCCCUCAUCCGUCAGUUUUUUCUCUCAUACACAGUUAAAGGCUGAACAGAAAGAAAGAGAAGAGCGUUUGCAGACGAUAAACAGCCCCGCAGCAGCGCCCCGACCACAUCAAAAAAGCAAGGCCCAGCCUUUCUUCAGCAUUUUCACCUCCAGUCCUAUCAGCGCACCAUUCAGGAGGCCAAUCUUCAAAGAAAAAACACCCCAUAACUCCGACCAACACUCGGAAACAUCAAGUCCUUGUGAGAACAAGGAGAACCAGCAGAACCAGCAGAUCUCUGAGGCUGCUGCUCUGAAACAAGAGGCACCAGUCUGCGCAGGUGAAAUGAGAAAGGAGACAAACAAUCACUCCAUGGAGUCUCCUCCAAGGUGUGAAGAUGAGCCGCCGGCUGCAGAAGAUGAAGACGAAGAGGACCAGACUCUCUUUUUUACUCCAGAGCUUUUCGAGGAAGAGGAGAACGUAGGCAACCCGCAGAAGGAGACAAAAACAAAGACACCACAGAAGUUGGAGAGCCCUGUCCUGCUGUCAGACGGCUCUGAGCAAGAUGGAGGGCAGGUCGUGGUUUUUAAUGAUCAGAGUGAUAGUUCAGUCAGUAAGGAGAGCACAGAGCUGCCGCUGGGACAAGAAGAAGAAGAACUGAUGAGGGAGACUCGAGGUGAGGAGGGAGAGAGUCAGAGCAGGCAGACAGAGAACAGGCUCCACAGAUUGUCCCGGUCCAGGCAGAAAGCUCCCUCCGACCCGACAGGUGGAGGCUAUAAGGGGAAAGCUGUAGGGAGAGUCAGUCUGUCGCAGAUCGAGACCAGGAGCAGCCAGAGGAGGAAAGACCAGGCCAGAACAGACCAUCAGAGAAAGGUUGUACCGUCAGGUUUGAGGUGCAGACCAUCCAGAGACAGACCCGUCAGAUUAGACACGUAUCGGCCAGAGGAUCAGGGAGACAGCUGGAUGACCUGCAGACAGACAGGACAGAUUUUAAAACCAGCGUCUGAGUCAGGAAAGACUUGUGUCGAUGUGAGGGACCGCAAAGCUCCUAAAAAGCUGCUCGCCACGCCUGUUUGUUCUGCAAGGAUUGAGUAUGACAUUGUGACUCCUAAACAAGAAGUCAAAGGGGGUCUGCAGGAAGCCGGAGGAGCAGGAUGUGGUCCUACGAGUCCAGCUGUGGAGGGUUCUGAGAGUCAGCACGCCAAGAAGAACGCUUUAAAAGUGCAGAGAUGUUGCAGGAAGAAACGCCGGAGAUUCUACAACACAUCUCCAAAAAGAAAGUUUGUCUUUCAGAGAGUUGGAGACCAGAGGCCGUGCUCUUUGGGACUCUCCUGUGCGCUGUGUGAGAUGAAACUCCUUCCUGUGAUGAAGGAUACAUCAUGGCGUGCAGUUUGUGAAGGUGAUCCUCUUUCUAUCCUGAGGAAGGACACGUUCAGAGCUGCAGCAUCAAACUGCCGAUGUGAACCACAACUUCCAUCAGCUGUAGACAAGUCACUGCUGCUGGUCCAGAGUCCAGAUUCACUGAAGACCCUCCGAACCGCUCUGCAACCUUUCUGUGAUGACAGUCAGACAGCAUACAACGCCAUCUGGAACCCCGAGGAGGGCUCUGUCACCAGAUUUCUGCAGUGCAAAGGCUGCUUGUCUCAGAGCCCCGUUCAGUCUGCAGCUCUGAUAGCGGCCGAGAUCCAGUAUCCCCGAGACACGGCUCGAGAUCAGGCGCUGUUUGCUCAAACGCCUUAAAACUGGGAGGCAGAACGAAGAGAUGAAAGGCAGCAAAGGAAAAGAAAACAUGUCAGUAACUGCUGCGUUGAUCUGUGUGCAGCAGAAGAAGCCAUACAUCAGUCAGUCAUUGUCAACAGGCAGAGGUGAACUGUGACGGACUCCUCUCUUUGAUUGAUUUGACAUGACAUGGGAAACAAGUCCUCACGUUUUAACACCACAAACGUCGUCAUUGUAAUUUCUCGUAUUUCACCGCGACGUUAUCCAAAAGAUUAAAGGUCAAUACACCUGCA